rnacentral:rRNA from 1 species
GUGGGGAAUAUUGGACAAUGGGGGGAACCCUGAUCCAGCCAUGCCGCGUGUGUGAAGAAGGCCUUUUGGUUGUAAAGCACUUUAAGCGAGGAGGAGGCUACCGAGAUUAAUACUCUUGGAUAGUGGACGUUACUCGCAGAAUAAGCACCGGCUAACUCUGUGCCAGCAGCCGCGGUAAUACAGAGGGUGCAAGCGUUAAUCGGAUUUACUGGGCGUAAAGCGCGCGUAGGUGGCCAAUUAAGUCAAAUGUGAAAGCCCCGAGCUUAACUUGGGAAUUGCAUUCGAUACUGGUUGGCUAGAGUAUGGGAGAGGAUGGUAGAAUUCCAGGUGUAGCGGUGAAAUGCGUAGAGAUCUGGAGGAAUACCGAUGGCGAAGGCAGCCAUCUGGCCUAAUACUGACACUGAGGUGCGAAAGCAUGGGGAGCAAACAGGAUUAGAAACCCCUGUAGUCC